UUAACUUUUAUUUGUUGUACCUCCUAUUAGUCUUGAGAACAUGUAUGUUGGCUGAGUUGAGUUCCAUUGUUUGAGUUUGGAGGGAGGUUCAUCGUUUUCUUUCUUUUUAGUUUGGCUUAUUGACCCAUUAAGUUUUGGUUUGAAGGUUUGUUUGCAAUGAUAUGAAAACCCUACCAAAUUGAAAUUAAUGCCUAACUCUCAAUCCCUACCUAAAGAAGCACAUGGGCAUGUUGAUUGGCUCUUGCUCUCGCUCAUUCUUCUCUUCUCUUCUUCUCUUAUCGCCCUCGACCUUCUCUCGCUUGUUCUUCUCUUGUUCUUCUCUUAUCGCCCUCGACCUUCUCUCGCUUGUUCGUCUCUUAUCGUCUCUUAUCGCCCUCGACCUUCUCUCGCUCGUUCGUCUCUUAUCGCCCUCGACCUUCUCUCGCUCGUUCGUCUCUUAUCGCCCUCGACCUUCUCUCGCUCGUUCGUCUCUUAUCGCCCUCGACCUUCACUCGCUCGUUCGUCUCUUAUCGCCCUCGACCUUCACUCGCUCGUUCGUCUCUUAUCGCCCUCGACCUUCACUCGCUCGUUCGUCUCUUAUCGCCCUCGACCUUCACUCGCUCGUUCGUCUCUUAUCGCCCUCGACCUUCACUCGCUCGUUCGUCUCUUAUCGCCCUCGACCUUCUCUCGCUCGUUCGUUUCUUAUCGCCCUCGACCUUCUCUCGCUCGUUCGUCUCUUAUCGCCCUCGACCUUCUCUCGCUCGUUCGUCUCUUAUCGCCCUCGACCUUCUCUCGCUCGUUCGUCUCUUAUCGCCCUCGACCUUCUCUCGCUCGUUCGUCUCUUAUCGCCCUCGACCUUCUCUCGCUCGUUCGUCUCUUAUCGCCCUCGACCUUCUCUCGCUCGUUCGUCUCUUAUCGCCCUCGACCUUCUCUCGCUCGUUCGUCUCUUAUCGCCCUCGACCUUCUCUCGCUCGUUCGUCUCUUAUCGCCCUCGACCUUCUCUCGCUCGUUCGUCUCUUAUCGCCCUCGACCUUCUCUCGCUCGUUCGUCUCUUAUCGCCCUCGACCUUCUCUCGCUCGUUCGUCUCUUAUCGCCCUCGACCUUCUCUCGCUCGUUCGUCUCUUAUCGCCCUCGACCUUCUCUCGCUCGUUCGUCUCUUAUCGCCCACGACCUUCUCUCGCUCGUUCGUCUCUUAUCGCCCACGACCUUCUCUCGCUCGUUCGUCUCUUAUCGCCACGACCUUCUCUCGCUCGUUCGUCUCUUAUCGCCCACGACCUUCUCUCGCUCGUUCGUCUCUUAUCGCCCACGACCUUCUCUCGCUCGUUCGUCUCUUAUCGCCCACGACCUUCUCUCGCUCGUUCGUCUCUUAUCGCCCACGACCUUCUCUCGCUCGUUCGUCUCUUAUCGCCCACGACCUUCUCUCGCUCGUUCGUCUCUUAUCGCCCACGACCUUCUCUCGCUCGUUCGUCUCUUAUCGCCCACGACCUUCUCUCGCUCGUUCGUCUCUUAUCGCCCUCGACCUUCUCUCGCUCGUUCGUCUCUUAUCGCCCUCGACCUUCUCUCGCUCGUUCGUCUCUUAUCGCCCUUUCUCGCUCGUUCGUCUCUUAUCGCCCACGACCUUCUCUCGCUCGUUCGUCUCUUAUCGCCCACGACCUUCUCUCGCUCGUUCGUCUCUUAUCGCCCUCGACCUUCUCUCGCUCGUUCGUCUCUUAUCGCCCUCGACCUUCUCUCGCUCGUUCGUCUCUUAUCGCCCUCGUCCUUCUCUCGCUCGUUCGUCUCUUAUCGCCCUCGACCUUCUCUCGCUCGUUCGUCUCUUAUCGCCCUCGACCUUCUCUCGCUCGUUCGUCUCUUAUCGCCCUCGACCUUCUCUCGCUCGUUCUUCUCUUAUCGCCCUCGACCUUCUCUCGCUCGUUCUUCUCUUAUCGCCCACGACCUUCUCUCGUUCGUUCUUCUCUUAUCGCCCACGACCUUCUCUCGUUCGUUCUUCUCUUAUCGCCCACGACCUUCUCUCGCUCGUUCUUCUCUUAUCGCCCACGACCUUCUCUCGCUCGUUCUUCUCUUAUCGCCCACGACCUUCUCUCGCUCGUUCGUCUCUUAUCGCCCACGACCUUCUCUCGCUCGUUCGUCUCUUAUCGCCCACGACCUUCUCUCGCUCGUUCGUCUCUUAUCGCCCACGACCUUCUCUCGCUCGUUCUUCUCGUUCUUCUCUUAUCGCCCACGACCUUCUCUCGCUCGUUCUUCUCGUUCUUCUCUUAUCGCCCACGACCUUCUCUCGCUCGUUCUUCUCGUUCUUCUCUUAUCGCCCACGACCUUCUCUCGCUUCUCUCGCUCGUUCUUCUCUUAUCGCCCUCGACCUUCUCUCGCUCGUUCUUCUCUUAUCGCCCACGACCUUCUCUCGCUCGUUCUUCUCUUAUCGCCCACGACCUUCUCUCGCUCGUUCUUCUCUUAUCGCCCACGACCUUCUCUCGCUCGUUCUUCUCUUAUCGCCCACGACCUUCUCUCGCUCGUUCUUCUCUUAUCGCCCACGACCUUCUCUCGCUCGUUCUUCUCUUAUCGCCCACGACCUUCUCUCGCUCGUUCGUCUCUUAUCGCCCACGACCUUCUCUCGCUCGUUCUUCUCGUUCUUCUCUUAUCGCCCACGACCUUCUCUCGCUCGUUCUUCUCGUUCUUCUCUUAUCGCCCACGACCUUCUCUCGCUCGUUCUUCUCGUUCUUCUCUUAUCGCCCACGACCUUCUCUCGCUCGUUCUUCUCGUUCUUCUCUUAUCGCCCACGACCUUCUCUCGCUCGUUCUUCUCGUUCUUCUCUUAUCGCCCACAACCUUCUCUCGCUCGUUCUUCUCGUUCUUCUCUCUUAUCGCCCACGACCUUCUCUCGCUCGUUCUUCUCGUUCUUCUCUUAUCGCCCACGACCUUCUCUCGCUCGUUCUUCUCGUUCUUCUCUUAUCGCCCACGACCUUCUCUCGCUCGUUCUUCUCUUAUCGCCCACGACCUUCUCUCGCUCGUUCUUCUCUUAUCGCCCACGACCUUCUCUCCUCGUUCUUCUCUUAUCGCCCACGACCUUCUCUCCUCGUUCUUCUCUUAUCGCCCACGACCUUCUCUCGCUCGGCGCACGGUCACGACCUUCUCUCGCUCGGCGCACGGUCACGACCUUCUCUCGCUCGGCGCACGGUCACGACCUUCUCUCGCUCGGGCGCACGGUCACGACCUUCUCUCGCUCGGGCGCUCAGGUCGAUUUGAACAAAAAAACCAACCUAGUGUUUUGAAAGACUCACAGAAGCCCACGCCUAGGCGAGUCUAGGCUCAAGUCGACCAUAUGUGGCUUAUUUGUGAAGAAGCGAGGCGUUUUCACUAAAGCCCGGUUUAGGAGCGCCUUCCUUGAGGCACACCUAGACUCAAGUCGCAUUAAGCUUGAACUUUUUUAUAACUAAUGAGCUAGACUUUAAUUAAAAAAAAUAUUAUAUAGGUUUUUUAAACCUAUUACAUGAAAGUUAAGAAACGCAUGUCUUCAUCUACCUCUUUCGCUCCCUUUAUGUUUUUGCUUCAAAUAAUAUUUUAUUCCUUUCAAAGAGUAGUUUUCUGUUAUGUUUUGUUAGUCUCAAUUUCAUCUUGGUUAUAUAUUUAUAUUUUAUACAUUGUUGCUCUGCUCAACAUAUGUGUGUAUAUAUAUAUUUUCUUUUUAUAUAUAGUGCUCCUUAUGAAAAAAAGUGCCUUUUUGUGUGCCUUGCACCUAGGCUCCAGGACCAUUGCGCCUUAGUGGGCCUUGAGCCUUUAAAAACUCUGGACACCCGAAGUAUCAAGUUGAAGCUGUAUUUGGAGUUCAACAUUGUCUAUACACAUCCCAUAUUUGGAGCCCAACAUUGUUUAUGCUCGUCCCAUUUUUUGGAGUCCAACAUUGUUUAUGCUCAUCCCAUAUUUGGAGUCCAACAUUGUUUAUAGUCCACUGAUCUCAG